AGUUUGAUCAUGGCUCAGAUUGAACGCUGGCGGCAUGCCUUACACAUGCAAGUCGAACGGCAGCGCGGACUUCGGUCUGGCGGCGAGUGGCGAACGGGUGAGUAAUACAUCGGAACGUACCCUGUUGUGGGGGAUAACUAGUCGAAAGAUUAGCUAAUACCGCAUACGACCUGAGGGUGAAAGUGGGGGACCGCAAGGCCUCACGCAGCAGGAGCGGCCGAUGUCUGAUUAGCUAGUUGGUGGGGUAAAGGCCCACCAAGGCGACGAUCAGUAGCUGGUCUGAGAGGACGAUCAGCCACACUGGGACUGAGACACGGCCCAGACUCCUACGGGAGGCAGCAGUGGGGAAUUUUGGACAAUGGGGGCAACCCUGAUCCAGCAAUGCCGCGUGUGUGAAGAAGGCCUUCGGGUUGUAAAGCACUUUUGUCCGGAAAGAAAUCGCGCUGGUUAAUACCUGGCGUGGAUGACGGUACCGGAAGAAUAAGCACCGGCUAACUACGUG
rnacentral:rRNA from 1 species